rnacentral:rRNA from 1 species
UACGUAGGGGGCAAGCGUUGUCCGGAAUCAUUGGGCGUAAAGCGCGUGUAGGCGGCUCGAUAAGUCUGCUGUGAAAGUCCAGGGCUCAACCCUGGAAUGCCGGUGGAAACUGUCGGGCUAGAGUCCGGAAGAGGCGAGUGGAAUUCCUGGUGUAGCGGUGAAAUGCGCAGAUAUCAGGAAGAACACCCGUGGCUAAGGCGGCUCUCUAGUACGGUACUGACGCUGAGACGCGAAAGCGUGGGGAGCGAACAGG